CUCCAUCCCGAGGGAAAGUUCUCCCUGAGAGCUUUUCAUUUGGUGCAUUGGCCGGGAAAGGAGAUCCUCCACCCAGGGACCACCGACCACCCACUGGGAGCCUACUUGGGAUGACUGCCAACAGCUCUUACAGGCCCUCUUAACCUCAGAAAAAAAAAAAAACAAAGAGUGUUCCUAGAGGCCAGAAAGCAUGUUCUGGGAGAUGAUGGGCGUCCCACCCAGCUGCCUGAGAAAAUUGAUGCUGCAUUCCCACUUAAGAGACCAAACUGGGAUUUUAAUACAGCUGAAGCUUCAGGACAACUCAGCGACCGGACGGCCUGGGUACAAAGAGCUACUGGUGAGAAACAAUACCGAUGGACUACGGACCGCCGGGUUCAGCUGGCUACUGGUAAGGUGACCCAUUCCUUCUUACAUGUUCCGGACUGCCCGUACCCUCUGCUGGGCCGUGACCUGCUCACCAAACUAAAAGCACAAAUUCAUUUUGAGGAAGGAGGGGCCCGAAUAACUGGCCCCCAC
ensembl:lncRNA